UCCGAGGUUAGCCUUUGGCGCUCAGAAGUGGAUUCUCCUUCAAAGAGGGCUUUUCCCAAGAAAGGGACAUGGUUGUACUGCAUUUCUAGUCCUAUAGUGGAAGAGCAGAUAGGAUCACACCUACACGUAAGUUCGUUCAUUGGGUUAGUGGCCACCCGCACUCCAACCUAUCUAUAUGGCAACAAAGCGAAUGACAAGGCCAAAGUAGCUGACUCUUAUCGCUAA
rnacentral:rRNA from 1 species